rnacentral:snoRNA from 1 species
GGCGAUGAUGAAGCCUUCCGCACCUGAAUGAUGAGGAGUGGACGGCUUCCUGAGCC